ensembl:lncRNA LINC01791 long intergenic non-protein coding RNA 1791
AUUCCGAGAUUGUGUGCUGAGGGUUUUCAACUGCAUCUCUAAAGGGAAGGCCAAAGAAAGAGCAACAGGAAAGGAUGGUAAAAAGGGGGUAGAAAGGAAGAAGGAAGGGAAGAAAAAAGGGAAAACAGCAAGCUCUCUUUCCAGAGCCACACAUUUUUUUCUGUUUGCUCAGUGGCAGUCUGUUAAAGAAAUACUUCAUUGUCACUGAACACAGAGUCAUUAAAGGCACCUUGGAAAUUUGGACCCUUUUACUAGAAUCAGGGCUUAAAUAGCAACUUAAUUUAUGACACUUCUCGAGGCUGAUGGCGUUUUUGCUCUAAGGCAUGGAAACCUUGUUCCACACAUUGCCUGGUGCCCUGUCCAGCGCUGCAAGGUGCACUGCGUCUCCUCUGCCCAGCAAGCCACAAGCCCCUCCAGGGUGAGAGGAGAGCCUUCCCUUCCCUUGGUCCUCCCUUCGACACAGGGAGCUGGAGCUGGACAGCCCCAUAGGCACUCAGGGCUUGAAGAAGAUAUCUAGAAAUGUCAAAGCAGAAGAGCCUCGGAGAUAAUCUGAACUAUUUCUGAGUUUAUAUAAGGGAAAACUGAGACUGGAGAGAACUAACAUGUCUAAUAUUACAAUGGAAACUUGUAAUAAAACCACAAAUUGAGUCAA